UCUUAUCUUGACAGACUGCUGUACGAUAUGCUAUUAGGUCAUUUCCUCUGUUUUUCACUUGUUACCCAAACACGAACCUAAAGAGAACCAGGGUGCUUAUCAGUGCAUGUGUAUGGGAAGGGAGUCUGCGCUUGGCUUUAAUUUUUUUUUUCCAGGAACUAUAAGUUUUGGUAUACCACAUUAUAAAUACAUGUAUAUUUGUCCUUUACUUUAAGCUGUCUAUAAACCAGAGAUCUUGAAAUUGAAUGGAUGUAUACGGUCCGCCCCAUGGAGUGGUUGGCUUGAUUAGCGAGGUCGUUUUCCAGCAGUGUUCUAGAGAUGAGAGAAGUGCUGUAUGUACAAAAAUGUUACGAAACAAGAGACGUUAAUCCACGCGAUAACCACGUGACGUCAAUACCCCUUCUGACGAAACAAUAAUACAAACGUCUAACUGAAAAAACAACAAAACAAAAACUGUGUCGAACACAAUGUAUAACGAACAAGGAAGACCUUGCUGGUUGCGAGGGGAUUUACAGUGGUUGAGAGAGGAUUGUACAAUGGUUGUAGCUUCCACCCCUUAAUAACCUAAAUGGAACGUCGUUGUGGGAAGAGUAAUAUUGUUAGAAGCAGUUCAGUCGAUGAUCUGCUGAAGGAGUGUGGAUUUAAACGUCGAUAUCUUUCCCGUCUGCGAAACGAGAAGAAUCCAGAGUGUCCUGAAGACGUCUUGGUGGACAUAGAAAAAACUCGAACUCUCAAGGAAGGAUACUUGUAUCUCUUGAAGAAUGAGGGAUGUUGGGUCAGGUAAUUUUGAGGAAAGGGAAUUUGUUUUUUUAAUGUGUGUGAAUUAAAAGUAUCCCAAGGCUUGUAAUAAUAUUUUUUACUUAUAGGUAAUUUUUGUCAGUCUUAUUUGCACAUUACUGUCAACAAUACACUUAUCAAGCAGCUUAGAAAGCUGAAAUUUAAAUGACUAGCUCCCGAACGGUUUUUGGAGGUAAACAUCUUUAAUUAGGAGCGAACUGGAAAUAAACACAACAUAAAAAAAAAGAAAUUCUAUUUAAACAUAUCUAAA